AACCAUAGAAACCUGCGGAGUACCUGCGGAGGGAUCAUUAUAGUAUAUGGAAUCUCCAUUCUAUAAACCCACUCUGCGUAUCUUGUAACUGUUGCUUCCAUGGGACUUGGUUCCGCCACACCGGCUUCACGGCUGGUGAGCGCCCAUGGAAGGAGAAACAAAACUCUUCUUUGAAAUGUAGUCAGUCUGAACAAGUUUUUAUAAACGUUAAAACUUUCACAAUGGAUCUCAGAUCGGAAG
rnacentral:misc_RNA from 1 species